GACGAACGCUGGCGGCGUGCUUAACACAUGCAAGUCGAACGGAAAGGCCCUGCUUUUGUGGGGUGCUCGAGUGGCGAACGGGUGAGUAACACGUGAGUAACCUGCCCUUGACUUUGGGAUAACUUCAGGAAACUGGGGCUAAUACCGGAUAGGAGCUCCUGCUGCAUGGUGGGGGUUGGAAAGUUUCGGCGGUUGGGGAUGGACUCGCGGCUUAUCAGCUUGUUGGUGGGGUAGUGGCUUACCAAGGCUUUGACGGGUAGCCGGCCUGAGAGGGUGACCGGCCACAUUGGGACUGAGGUACGGCCCAGACUCAUACGGGAGGCAGCAGUGGGGAAUAUUGCACAAUGGGCGGAGGCCUGAUGCAGCGACGCCGCGUGCGGGAUGACGGCCUUCGGGUUGUAAACCGCUUUCGCCUGUGACGAAGCGUGAGUGACGGUAAUGGGUAAAGAAGCACCGGCUAACUACGU
rnacentral:rRNA from 1 species